UGGGGAAUUUUGGACAAUGGGCGAAAGCCUGAUCCAGCAAUACCGCGUGAGUGAUGAAGGCCUUAGGGUUGUAAAGCUCUUUCAGUUGGAAAGAUAAUGACGGUACUAACAGAAGAAGCCCCGGCUAACUACGUGCCAGCAGCCGCGGUAAGACGUAGGGGGCUAGCGUUGUUCGGAAUUACUGGGCGUAAAGAGCGCGUAGGCGGUCUAUUAAGUUGGAAGUGAAAGCCCGAGGCUCAACCUCGGAACUGCUUUCAAAACUGGUAGACUAGAGUUCGGUAGGGGGUGAUGGAAUUCCUAGUGUAGAGGUGAAAUUCUUAGAUAUUAGGAGGAACACCGGUGGCGAAGGCGAUCACCUGGCCCGAUACUGACGCUGAGGCGCGAAAGCGUGGGGAGCAAACAGG
rnacentral:rRNA from 1 species